CGAGAAUUCUUUCUGCUUUGAAUAAUGAGUCAUGGAAUAGAGUUAUGACUCUGUUGCUCUGCAUGUGAGCUGUGUUUGAAGCAUGUUGACGCUCUCCGCCUUGAUGCAGCUGGCACCCCAGAUCGAUUACUGGAUGCUCAACUUGAAAACAGUUGAAAGGAAAACCACAGGGCAGACGAUAUGGUUGGCUCUGGGGCCUGAUGGAUGUUGGCUGACCCAACAUUGCUUCAUCCCAGCAGAGUUCCUUUAUUUUGUAUCUCUGCAUUGAAAACCAUGGAGACUUUCAAAUACCCUGCAUACUAAUUCAAUUUUCC
rnacentral:lncRNA from 1 species